UGGGGAAUAUUGCACAAUGGGCGCAAGCCUGAUGCAGCCAUGCCGCGUGUGUGAAGAAGGCCUUCGGGUUGUAAAGCACUUUCAGCGGGGAGGAAGGCGUUAAGGUUAAUAACCUUGGCGAUUGACGUUACCCGCAGAAGAAGCACCGGCUAACUCCGUGCCAGCAGCCGCGGUAAUACGGAGGGUGCAAGCGUUAAUCGGAAUUACUGGGCGUAAAGCGCACGCAGGCGGUCUGUCAAGUCGGAUGUGAAAUCCCCGGGCUCAACCUGGGAACUGCAUUCGAAACUGGCAGGCUAGAGUCUUGUAGAGGGGGGUAGAAUUCCAGGUGUAGCGGUGAAAUGCGUAGAUAUAUGGAGGAACACCAGUGGCGAAGGCGGCUCUCUGGUCUGUAACUGACGCUGAGGCUCGAAAGCGUGGGGAGCAAACAGG
rnacentral:rRNA from 1 species